rnacentral:lncRNA from 1 species
UUGCGAGAUUAAAUAAACUGAGCGGAGCUUCGAGAUUGAAUCUGUUUCCUUCCUCAAGAAUCCCUGUGCCUUCCAGGAACUCUCAGCCCCAGCCCACCCCAUUCCCCAGUUCCUGGAAUGCUCCCCAUGUCAGGGGCGCUAGGGUGGGGAGGGUCAGGAUCCCAGGUUGAGCAGGGACAAUUAAAGAAGAACUCCAUUUCUUUGAAUAGAUUCCCAAACUGCCGGCAGCCCCCGCGACACAGGCUGGGAGAAGGAUCUAAAAUGUGAACCUUAUUAAGGACCCGUUCAGGGUGGCUCACGGCCAGACAGGAAAUUGGAAUUGAGCACUGACAGGGAAAAUCUAUUACUUUGUUGCUCCGGGAGUGCUACCAUUUCACACCACACAGGGCCGAGGCGGGGAGAGGGCACGGUGGAGCUGUUUGUGAUUUCCCCCUUGGAACAGAGGAAUGGAGGCCUGGGUCCCAGCUGGCUGACACCCAACCCCUGCCUCACCUCCCAGAGGAGAGGUCCUGGCCCAUGUAGUGGAGCCCAGUCCUCAGACAAGAAUGUGCAGAGAAAGGUGACUGCAGAAAAUGAACGCGCCAAGCUUGUCAUACUGCAGAAGGCCUGAAGAAGGCGCUGCUGGUGUCCCUGUUCCUGCCGGCUGCUGCAGGAAGGAGUCGAACCUUCCUUGACAAGACAGAUAUUGCCAGUCAGACAGCCUGUCCUAUUGGCUGCCCGCCAGGCCCCUCACCGAGGGGAAAGACAGUGACUAAGCCCCAUCUUUCAGCCUGAAUUCUUGAACCUCCACCCAGAGGAACCAUCUCUUGGAGAAACAAGAUCUCCUCAUUCUGCAAUGCUGAGAAAUCAAGAAAACACCAGACCAUCUGCUCCCUCCACCCCUGCUUCCCUCAUUCACCCGCCAUACUCAUUCAUCCCUUGAGGCUCGGCUGGAAACAACCUCCUCUGUGAAGCCUUCCUUGACUUCCCAGGUGCACUGUGCUGCUCCAGCUAUAUGACUAACAGGAUGGAAGAGCUUUAGGACCCUACAGACUUGCAUUCAAGUGUCUUCCAAGCUAGAGCUGAAGACAUUAAAAUGUCGCAAGAGAGAGAAAAAUAUGGGGCUUCCAGGCAGGCAGUGAAGGAAGCUGGCUGGGUAAAGGAAGCUGUCUACCCUUUCCCUCAAAUCUUCUCAGGAGAUAGAAUUAAGUCUGUCACUUGAACAUGGGCACAAGGAUUGCAAAAACCCAAAGAAGAAGGAGGACUCCCCCAUUGUUACAGCGGUCAAAGCAAGGACCAAGCACGUCCAUGUGCUUGGUCACCUACUGCCACAGUUUCUGUGUCCAGUUGGGAUUCAGGACAGUAAACAACUUCAGUCCACAUGAGAGUUUCAGUGGAAUGGACCUGAGUUGCUGACUUCGUAACUUCCAGUCUCUUUAGGUAGUAAAUCUGCUUGCCUUGCAACAGUGAUUCUCAAACGGGGGCCCCUGAGCCAACAGCGUCAGUAUCACCUGGAACUUGCGAGAAAUGCAGACUCUCAGGACUCCCCCAGACCCAUGGGUCGGAACGGGGCCCAGCAUCCCUUGUGUCAACAAGCCUCCUGGGAGAGUCCCAUG